AUUGAAACAUUGGUUCCCAUAUGAUCACCAAAGUUAAGCAAUGGGAGCCUGGUUAGUACCUAGAUGGGUAACCGCUCAGGAAUACCAAGUGCUGUAAU